UGAGCAAUCUGCCCUUCUCUUCGGAAUAAGCGUUGGAAACGACGUCUAAUGCCGAAUACGACCUCCUUUCGCAUGAUCGGAGGUGGAAAGCUCCGGCGGAGAAGGAUGAGCUCGCGGCCUAUCAGCUAGUUGGUGUGGGUAAUGGCCCACCAAGGCGACGACGGGUAGCCGGCCUGAGAGGGUGACCGGCCACACGUGGGACUGAGACACGGCCCAGACCUCCGUACGGGAGG
rnacentral:rRNA from 1 species